GACGGAGGGUGCUAGCGUUGUUCGGAAUUACUGGGCGUAAAGGGCGCGUAGGCGGCCUGUUAAGUCGGGUGUGAAAGCCCGGGGCUCAACCCCGGAACGGCACCCGAGACUGGCGGGCUUGAGACCGAGAGAGGAGAGUGGAAUACCCAGUGUAGCGGUGAAAUUCGUAGAUAUUGGGUGGAACACCAGUGGCGAAAGCGGCUCUCUGGCUCGGUUCUGACGCUGAGGCGCGAAAGCGUGGGGAGCAAACAGG
rnacentral:rRNA from 1 species